rnacentral:rRNA from 1 species
CCUACGGGUGGCAGCAGUGGGGAAUAUUGCACAAUGGGCGAAAGCCUGAUGCAGCAACGCCGCGUGAAGGAAGACGGUUUUCGGAUUGUAAACUUCUGUUCUUAGUGAAGAAUAAUGACGGUAACUAAGGAGCAAGCCACGGCUAACUACGUGCCAGCAGCCGCGGUAAUACGUAGGUGGCAAGCGUUGUCCGGAAUUACUGGGGGUAAAGGGAGCGUAGGCGGGAAGCCAAGUCAGCGGUGAAAACUACGGGCUUAACCUGUAGACUGCAGUUGAAACUGGCUUUCUGGAGUGAAGUAGAGGUUGGCGGAAUGCGGGGUGUAGCGGUGAAAUGCAUAGAUAUUCGGAAGAACCCCGAUGGCGAAGGCGGCCAACUGGGCCUUCACUGACGCUGAGGCUCGAAAGUGUGGGGAGCGAACAGGAUUAGAUACCCCGGUAGUC